CAGUAGCCACGGUAAUACGAGGGGGGCAAGCGUUGUUCGGAUUUAUUGGGCGUAAAGGGUGCGUAGGCGGUUUGGCAAGUCUUGUGUGAAAUCUUCGGGCUCAACACGAAGCCUGCACGAGAAACUACCGGGCUUGAGUAUUGGAGAGGUGAGUGGAAUUUCCGGUGUAGCGGUGAAAUGCGUAGAUAUCGGAAGGAACACCUGUGGCGAAAGCGGCUCACUGGACAAUAACUGACGCUGAUGCACGAAAGCUAGGGGAGCAAACAGGAUUAGAUACCCCCGUAGUCCCUGUCUCUUAUAC
rnacentral:rRNA from 1 species